CCACAAUGCUGACAGAAGUGUGAACAAGAAGAAAGGCACUCGAGGACCUGGGAAGAUGUUUCAGUGGGUGGCUAUGAUCGCAACAAGUUAACACCUAAAGCUAAUUAUCACAGGAUACAUGCUAGCCUGUAUUCUUUCUGCAGAAUUUAUACAAGGGCAGCUGGAUUGCCUCUUAACAAAUCGCCAUGAGAAGUAGCAAGAACCACAGGAGCUUUCUUGAAAGCUGUGGUGGGAAGUUCACCUUCCCUCACCGUGAUCUUCAGGAUGGUCUCCUGAUGGCUUAGCCUUGUCAGCCCUCCCUUCUGAUUGACCAGCUGGGGAAUCUCCCUGAAAUGACUGAGCUUAUCACAGGCAUUCUAACUCUCUGUGCUUUACAAACAGCCAUGAGGGCUACAGCAUCUCGACAGGCCAGGUGCCUUAUGUCUCUAACACCGUCAAAUCAGCCAAGAGGAGGACAGUAAGACGGCUUUCCUAGCCACUCUCU